UCACCUGCCGAAGCAACUAGCCCUGAAAAUGGAUGGCGCUCUAGCGUCGUGCCUAUACCGGGCCGUCAACGGCAAAGUGGGCCAGUGAUCUGUCGGUUAACGCCGGCAGGCUUGGCCGUUAAGCCUUGACGAGUAGGAGGCGCGCGACGGUGUGCGCAGAAGGGUCUGGGCGCGAGCCUGCCUGGAGCCGCCGUCGGUGCAGAUCUUGGUGGUAGUAGCAAAUACUCUAGCGAGGGCCUGGAGGGCUGAUGUGGAGAAGGGUUUCUUGUGAACAGCCGUUGCACAAGAGUCAGUCGACCCUAAGCCCUAGGAGAAAUCCGAUGUUGAUGGGCAGCGAUCACGCGGCUGGUUCGGUUGUUGUGCAAGCUGUCGCUUGUGCUCUACUGCCCGCCCACCGACUGCUCCCGUCGGGCGAAAGGGAAUCCGGUUCCUAUUCCGGAACCCGGCUGCGGAACCGUAACUUCGCGGGCACUCGCCUGCGAGCGCUCGUCGGGGUAACCCAAAAUGACCCGGAGACGCCGGCGGGAGGUCUGGAAAGAGUUGUCUUUUCUUUAUAAGCGUUCGAGUUCCCUGGAAUCCUAUAGCAGGGAGAUAGGGUUUGGAACGCGAAGAGCACCGCAGUUGCGGCGGUGUCUGGACCUUCCCCCCGGACCUUGAAAAUCCGGGUGAGGGCUACGCGGAAAUGUCGCGCCGGCUCGUACCCAUAUCCGCAGCAGGUCUCCAA
rnacentral:rRNA from 1 species